UACAGAGGGGGCAAGCGUUGUUCGGAAUUACUGGGCGUAAAGGGCGCGUAGGCGGCCAACUAAGUCGGACGUGAAAUCCCCGGGCUCAACCCGGGAACUGCGUCCGAUACUGGAUGGCUUGAAUCCGGGAGAGGGAUGUGGAAUUCCAGGUGUAGCGGUGAAAUGCGUAGAUAUCAGGAGGAACACCGGCGGUGUAGACGGCUCUCUGGACCAUAACUGACGCUGAGGCACGAAAGCGUGGGUAGCAAACAGG
rnacentral:rRNA from 1 species